UGACUACCAGUUGGAGGGUUAUACAUA
rnacentral:sRNA from 1 species